rnacentral:sRNA from 1 species
GCUGGGUGCAGUGGUGCAUGCCUGUAAUCCCAGUGGCUCAGAAAGCUGAGACAGGAGAAUCAUGAGUUCAAAGCCAGCCUCAGCAAUAGUGAAGUGCUAAGCAACUCGGUGAGACCCUGUCUCUA